rnacentral:rRNA from 1 species
GACGAACGCUGGCGGCGUGCCUAAUACAUGCAAGUCGAACGCACAGUUUAUGCCGUAGCUUGCUACACCAUAGACUGUGAGUUGCGAACGGGUGAGUAACGCGUAGGUAACCUGCCUGGUAGCGGGGGAUAACUAUUGGAAACGAUAGCUAAUACCGCAUAAUAUUAAUUAUUGCAUGAUAAUUAAUUGAAAUGUGCAAUUGCACCACUACCAGAUGGACCUGCGUUGUAUUAGCUAGUAGGUGAGGUUACGGCUCACCUAGGCGACGAUACAUAGCCGAACUGGAGGGGGGACCGGCCACACUGGGACUGAGAACCGGCCCAGACUCCUUCGGGAGGCAGCAGGAGGGAAUCUUCGGCAAUGGACGAAAGGCUGACCGGGCAACGCCGCGGGAGUGAAGAAGGGUUUCGGAUCGUAAAGCUCUGUUGUAAGAGAAGAACGGGUGUGAGAGUGGAAAGUUCACACUGUGACGGUAUCUUACCAGAAAGGGACGGCUAACUACGUG